GAUGAACGCUGACAGAAUGCUUAACACAUGCAAGUCGAUGGGGAAGUGGUGCUUGCACCAUGGUAACCAUGGCGGACGGGUGAGUAACGCGUAAGGAACUUACCUGCGGGACCGGGAUAACAGCAGGAAACUGCUGACAAGACCGGAUAAGGUCAUUACGCUGCAUAGCUUAGUGAUGAAAGGAGACGCCUGCGGAGAGCCUUGCGUCCUAUUAGCUAGUUGGAGGGGUAACGGCCCACCAAGGCGAAGAUAGGUAGCCGGCCUGAGAGGGUGGACGGCCACAAGGGGACUGAGAUACGGCCCUUACUCCUACGGGAGGCAGCAGUGGGGAAUAUUGGACAAUGGGGGCAACCCUGAUCCAGCAAUUCUGUGUGCACGAAGACGGUUUUCGGAGUGUAAAGUGCUUUCAGCAGGGAAGAAGGAAGUGACGGUACCUGCAGAAGAAGCGACGGCUAAAUACGUG
rnacentral:rRNA from 1 species